ACUCCAUGGUGGGAACAAGAUCUUGUGUAUCCCUUCAAUCUUUCCCAUGCUUCAUAGAGAGCUUCAUUUGGACCUUGCUUGAAGCUUGUAAUGUCGUUUCUAAUCCA
rfam:Arabis alpina cultivar Pajares Aa.chr2_contig_2324, whole genome shotgun sequence.